rnacentral:rRNA from 1 species
AUUGUAGUCAUAUGCUUGUCUCGCAGAUUAAGCCAUGCAUGUCUAAGUAUAAGCAUUAUACAGUGAAACUGCGAAUGGCUCAUUAAAACAGUUAUUGUUUGCUUGGAGUUUUAUCCACCGGAUAUCCGUGGAAAUCCUACAGUUAAUACGUACAUCCUUCUUUGAAGGGUUGCAUAUUAAUCUGAAUGGACGAUGUGCUUGCACAUCAAAUUUGAAUACUUAUAUGCACGGAUCGUAUUUUAUGCGAGCGUCCAUCAAAGUUUCUGACCUAUCAGGUUCCGACGGUUGGGUAUUGGCCAACCGUGCCUACAACGGGUAACGGGGAAUAAU